rnacentral:rRNA from 1 species
CUCGAACCGGUUAAGAGGAUGCGUCAGUCGCAAGAUGAAGCGUUGAAUUGAAGCCCGAGUAAACGGCGGCCGUAACUAUAACGGUCCUAAGGUAGCGAAAUUCCUUGUCGGUUAAAUACCGACCUGCAUGAAUGGCGUAACGAGAUGGGAGCUGUCUCAACCAGAGAUUCAGUGAAAUUGUAGUGGAGGUGAAAAUUCCUCCUACCCGCGGCAAGACGGAAAGACCCCGUGGACCUUUACUACAACUUAGCACUGCUAAUGGGAAUAUCAUGCGCAGGAUAGGUGGGAGGCUGUUGAAGUAAGGGCUUUGGCUCUUAUGAGCCAUCCUUGUAGAUACCACCCUUGAUGUUUCUGUUAGCU